UGCCUCGGAUAACGAGGAGGAAGGUGGGGAUGACGUCAAGUCCUCAUGGCCUUUAUGUCCAGGGCUACACACGUGCUACAAUGGUCGGUACAAACCGUCGCAAACCCGCGAGGGGGAGCUAAUCGGAAAAAGCCGGCCUCAGUUCGGAUUGGAGUCUGCAACUCGACUCCAUGAAGCUGGAAUCGCUAGUAAUCGCGGAUCAGCACGCCGCGGUGAAUACGUUCCCGGGCCUUGUACACACCGCCCGUCACAUCACGAAAGUGGGUUGUACUAGAAGUCGUCGUGCCAACCGCAAGGAGGCAGACGCCCAAGGUAUAAUUCAU
rnacentral:rRNA from 1 species